rnacentral:rRNA from 1 species
CGGACGGGUGAGUAAUGUCUGGGAAACUGCCUGAUGGAGGGGGAUAACUACUGGAAACGGUAGCUAAUACCGCAUAACGUCGCAAGACCAAAGAGGGGGACCUUCGGGCCUCUUGCCAUCGGAUGUGCCCAGAUGGGAUUAGCUAGUAGGUGGGGUAACGGCUCACCUAGGCGACGAUCCCUAGCUGGUCUGGGAGGAUGGCCAGCCACACUGGAACUGAGACACGGUCCAG